UACGUAGGGGGCAAGCGUUGUCCGGAAUCAUUGGGCGUAAAGAGCGUGUAGGCGGCCCGAUAAGUCCGCUGUGAAAGUCCAGGGCUCAACCCUGGAAUGCCAGUGGAAACUGUCGGGCUGGAGUCCGGAAGAGGCGAGAGGAAUUCCUGGUGUAGCGGUGAAAUGCGCAGAUAUCAGGAGGAACACCAAUGGCGAAGGCAGCUCGCUGGGACGGUACUGACGCUGAGACGCGAAAGCGUGGGGAGCAAACAGG
rnacentral:rRNA from 1 species